UACGUAGGGUGCGAGCGUUGUCCGGAAUUACUGGGCGUAAGGAGCUCGUAGGUGGUUUGUCGCGUUGUCCGUGAAAACUCACAACUCAAUUGUGGGCGUGCGGGCGAUACGGGCAGACUGGAGUACUGCAGGGGAGACUGGAAUUCCUGGUGUAGCGGUGGAAUGCGCAGAUAUCAGGAGGAACACCGGUGGCGAAGGCGGGUCUCUGGGCAGUAACUGACGCUGAGGAGCGAAAGCGUGGGGAGCGAACAGG
rnacentral:rRNA from 1 species